AUACGUAGGUGACAAGCGUUAUCCGGAUUUACUGGGCGUAAAGGGCGUGUAGGCGGUCUUGCAAGUCAGAAGUGAAAUUCCUGAGCUCAACUCGGGCGCUGCUUCUGAAACUGCAGGACUUGAGUGCUGGAGGGGAUAGCGGAAUUCCUAGUGGAGCGGUAAAAUGCGCAGAUAUUAGGAAGAACACCGGUGGCGAAGGCGGCUAUCUGGACAGUAACUGACGCUGAGGCGCGAAAGCGUGGGGAGCAAACAGGAUUAGAUACCCUGGUAGUCCACGUCGUAGACGAUGAAUACUAGGUGUAGGGGGUAUCGACUCCCUCUGUGCCGCAGUUAACACAAUAAGUAUUCCGCCUGGGGAGUACGGCCGCAAGGUUGAAACUUAAAGGAAUUGGCGGG
rnacentral:rRNA from 1 species